AUCAAUUCUUUUUGUUUCUAUUUUUGGUUUUAUUUCUUAUAUAUCUCUGCCGAAAUUAAGGUGUAAAUCUCGGUUACACGUUAUAUCUUAUGCAAAAAUGCCUUAACUAAACUUUUGUGCGCCGACAGUACAGAAUCACAUAGUAUAAGUUUCUUGAGGAAGAAAGUUGUGUAAUCGUUGCGUUGGAAGGCUACAACCACAAGCUGCUAGAGUUAACAAAACUAUGCUAGCAAAAUGUUGGUAUAGUUUUGGAUUAUAUGCGCAAUCUUGAAAUUCAUUCGGUAAGAGAUGCAUAUUUUGCAAUUUGUCUGUGAUAUAACCUAGCGGUUCAAUCGGUAAGUGUGAACAUAAUUGUCUGUAUUUAUAAAUGUCUGUGAUAUUGUUUAUAUUUGCUAUGUUGAUUUUCUUUAUAAUUGGGUCUUCAUUUGUUGAUUUUCUUUAUAAUUGGGCGAAACAAGAGAAACCCAUGUUCUCAUUACGAGCACGACCUCUAAAGUAUGCUAUGACCAUCCUAUGUUUAAUACAAAAUUGUGCUCCUUAAUAUUUGCUAGGUAGGUUAUUAACAUAGAGGUAAUAUAUACAUGAGUAGAGUAGCGGCCAUCCAUUUACAUCAUACUAAUCUUGCACCAUCAUCUCCUUCUAUUAUGAAAUGAUUUUUUUCUUCCCUAAGUUUGGUUUCUCAAUGUCUGCUAGAGGUGUGUAUUAGAAGUACGGUUGCUAUACAUGUUAAGGUGUAUUCAUGUCCAGCAAAGGGGCCUCUUAUGCAAUUUUGUUUGUCUGCUCACUCGGGAGCCGACCUAUGUCCCCAGUUUCUCCCUUUGUAUAUGCAGCAAAGCACUGGUUUCAGCUCAUGCCUGCAGCUAAGCUGCAUGUUUUGCGUAGCCUAGCAAUGAGGAACAGAUACUCGGGUAUGUACAACUUGGUUUUUUUGUGUCCUUCUUGAGACGACAUUGCUUUCGAUCAACUUUCUUCAGCUUGGUAUGUAUAGAUACAGCAAUGUCGCCCCUCUUAUGCAAUUUUGUUUGUCAGCUCACUCGGGAGCCGACCCAUGUCCUCAGUUUUUCUCUUUGUAUAUGCAGUGGAGCACUGGUUUUAGUUCAUGCCUACAACUAAGUUGCAUGUUUUUUGUAGCUUGGCAAUGAGGAACAUAUACUCUCGGGUAUGUACAACUUGGUUUUUUUGUGUCCUUCUUGAGGCGACAUUACUUUCGAUCAACUUUCUUUAGCUUGGUAUGUAUAGAUACAACAAUGUCGCCCCUCUUAUGCAAUUUUGUUUGUUAGCUCACUCAAGAGCUGACCCAUGUCCUCAGUUUCCCCCUUUGUAUAUGCAGCGGAGCACUGGUUUCAGUUCAUGCCUACAGCUAAGUUGUAUGUUUUGCGUAGCCUGGCAAUGAGGAAUAGUCUUGGUUUUUUUUGUGUCCUUCUUGUGUCGACAUUGCUUUCGAUCAGUUUUCUUCAGCUUGAUAUGUACAGAUACAACAAUGUCACCCCUCUUAUGCAAUUUUGUUUGUUAGCUCACUCGGGAGCCGACCCAUGUCCCCAGUUUCUCCCUUUGUAUAUGCAGCGGAGCACUGGUUUUAGUUCAUGCCUGCAGCUAAGCUGCAUGUUUUGCGUAGCCUGGCAAUGAGGAGCAGAUACUCACGGGAACUUGGAUUUGAUUAUCUUGGAAGUAGAGAGCAACUUGUCAUGAGGUUACAAACAAAUUAGAAUAUUUAAAUAGUUGUUCCCUUCUUUCUUUUCUUUCACAUUUUCCUCUAUUUCCACUGUGUUUCAUUUUUUCCUUCAUGGAUUACAAACAAACUAGAAUAUUUAUACAGGCCUUUGAGUGUUGACUUGGAAAUAAAAAUGAAUGUAACUAUUUUUAGUCCGUUAAGAUGUGUAUUUAUUUUUUAUUUGAUAUGAUAAAUUUUUUAUUAUUUUUCUUUAGAUCAUUGUGAGUUAUUAUGGAUUUUCUGAAGUAUAAUUUGCUUAGUUUUGCAAUGGGAGAAAAUUCUUUGUUUAUCAUAAUAUGUAACUUGUUUGGAGUAUAAUUUGAUGUUUGGUUUCUUUGUUAAUGUGAAUGAGAGUAAUUUUUUUUGUGGAUGUUCAGGUUCAGUGUAGGCUUGUAGUUGACAGAAAAGAUAUUACUUUUGACGAUGCAAUUAAUUAAUAUAAGUAUACUUUUUACCGAUGCUAAAU